rnacentral:lncRNA from 1 species
AAACAAAAAAAAAAACAAAAAAACGAGGACACGGAUAAAACACGGCACGCCCACCAGGCUACGAGGAUCGUGUCAACCAAGCACUCACCACACUGACGAAAAACACCAUGCAGAUCACUUUGAGCUACAUCUGGAUGCUAAGCAGUGCCUGUACUGACGCUCAGAACAGCCACGGUGCCAUCGCCCGGCCUGGGGAGUUAAGGGAGAAACACAUUCAGGUCUCCUUAUUUCUCCUUCCAUCCCAUGUUGCAAGCUAGAGCGAGCAUGAAGUCUUAUGAAAUGCUUGAUAAUUUAAAUCCCCGUAAGGCUUAAGGCUGAAGAUUUCAACCAAAUGGGCUUACAUGCGAAUGGCUCCAAUCCAGUAAAAAGAGGGGAAAAAAAGCCAAAAGUAAACAACAACAACA